UCUUGCACUGGGCCGAGCUCGCCGGCCUCGCCGACCUCGGGGGCGGAUCGGUCCCCGGUGGGUGCCGGGGCGGCGCACGGGACGUGCUUUGGGCUGCCGGGAGUAAAGGGUAGCCGGCGGGAACGCAGCUCCGGCUUUCGGCGGGAUCAGCCUCUCACUGCCUCUCACUUGGCCCCGCCGGCCUGCGGCGGGCUGUCCCCGCGCUGCCACCGCCCCGCUCGGCAGGGACGGAGGGGAAGGAGGAGACUGGCCAUCCCGCCCACGCGAGGACACGGCUCAUGGGGACGUGUCCCAUGGGGAUGCGCCGGCCGGGGCUGAGCAACACCCCAGCCCCCCCCGAGCCUGGACGUCCCCGUAGCAGCUCCCCACGUCCUGCGGGCAAACCAGGGAUCCCCGAGGGACGCAACAUCCGGUCAGAGAGGUUUGGGAACGCCCAGGACCGGGAACAGGCCACGCACACACUACCCCAACUUCUUUCUCCUCCGUCGCUCCCUUUUGAUUGGCAACGGGGCGGGUCUCGUUGGACUGUCCGCGUUUUGAUUGGCUAAAUUGAGGGGGCUGCACCCCGGGAUUGGCUGAGGUGCAGUUGGCUGAGAUGCUUAUAGGAGGUACAAUAGGUUGCGCAUGAGCUGAUAAGAGCCAAGAGAAGAGUUCAUGAGCGGGCCACUAGAGGAAGACUACUGACUUCAUCCCAGCGACCACCCUACGACCACCAGGAGGCAGAAGAAGACCCCCUAGUAACAAGACGGGCACAUGCGCAGAGUACACCAGGGAGCGAUGCACCCGACCGAUAAGGGCUGUAUAAAAGGACUGUGAUACGGCAGGGGGGUCACGAGCCGUUGGUGGAGCAGAGUCUCCCGGCCGCCCAGCGCUGUUUUGCUUAUUUGCCACUUGCUUAAUAAAUUCAAUCUAUGAGUCACUUAAAUUGGCCUGUGAACUUUAUCACAGCCAUUUAUAACACACUUGUUAAGCACUUGGUAAUAGUUUAAUCAAUUAGCUAAGCACUCGCAAAUAGCUCAAUCACAUAUUGAUUAAGUAUUCAUUUGAAUCACAUAAGGAUCAAACUGCAAGAGUUACAUACCACACCUGAUAUAAGGACCUGUUAAGACAAGACCCUGGUAAAUGUAUUUGUUAGGUUACCUUAGCUGUUACUAAAACAAAGAGACUGAUACCUUUUUUUAACCAAUCAGUACGAUAUUGGAAAUUUUAUAAUAGGAACCAAUUAAGGUAAAGGGCAAAUUAAGAGAUGGAUAUGUUAUGCAUGCUUUUGUUGGCAAAUGUAGUUCUUUGUUUGAAGUGUAAAAACCUUGAAAAUGGUAUCUAACAAUGAAGCACGUAUGGAGGAGCUAUCCCCCGUGUUUUCCCAGCGCUGCAUAAUAAAGAAG